rnacentral:rRNA from 1 species
CAACCCCGCACAGUUCAAGAGCCCGUGUGUCUGUUGAAGACGCAUCGACCAAAUGUUAUAUUUUUAUCUGAGACCAGAAAGAAUAAAGAAUACGUCGAAAGUUUGCGUUAUCGUUUGGGCAUGAAUAAUGUUUUUACUGUUUCUGUGCAAGGUAAAGGUGGUGAGUUGGCUGUUUUCUGGGAUGAUAUGUACACCCUUGAGCUGAACAAGUUUGGGGAGCACUUUGUUGAUAUGUAUGUGAGCAAUGCGGAGGGCAAAAAGUGGAGAAGCACUUUUCGUUUACGAUGA